ACUUGCACAUCCCGAUCAAACUCCUACUAUUCGGAGUUUAUAAAUACCCAAUCAAAACACUUUCGCUAACAACAACCUCGACUAGACAUCGUCUCUCACGAGCCUAUCCUUAUAGUCCAACCAGCCUAAGGUUUGCUAGGUCUACUAAGACUCAACCCUAGGCUCUGAUACCACUAUAAUCUGUCACGCCCGGGUACCAGCGGAAGCAUAUCCGGUACGUGCACAGACCCGCCAUACACCUGCAGUAUAUAAGGCGUCUACAAAGAAAGCAAGUCGAUAGGAAAUAAACAAAGAGAGUCCUAUCCUGAUAUCAGAGCAAUGUACAAGUCGAUAUACUAUCAGUAAAUGAACAAAGAGUGUACAAUCCAAAAUCCCAACAAAAGGAGAAGAAGUAAGAACUAUAACAUCUGGAUCAUCAACUCAUAUACAACACAGGGUACACAAAAAUAUCUGUACACAGGUAGUCACUCUAUACAAUGGACAUCACCCUCGGCCGUAGCCCGAGUAGCAAGGUGAUCGACUAGCACGCUCCUAGCAAAGUCUAGCUAGAC
rnacentral:lncRNA from 1 species